rnacentral:rRNA from 1 species
AGAGUUUGAUCCUGGCUCAGAUUGAACGCUGGCGGCAGGCUUAACACAUGCAAGUCGAGCGGUAACAUUUCUAGCUUGCUAGAAGAUGACGAGCGGCGGACGGGUGAGUAAUGCUUGGGAAUAUGCCUUUGAGUGGGGGACAACAGUUGGAAACGACUGCUAAUACCGCAUAACGUCUACGGACCAAAGGGGGGGAUCUUCGGACCUCUCGCUCAUUGAUUAGCCCAAGUGAGAUUAGCUAGUUGGUAAGGUAAUGGCUUACCAAGGCGACGAUCUCUAGCUGGUUUGAGAGGAUGAUCAGCCACACUGGGACUGAGACACGGCCCAGACUCCUACGGGAGGCAGCAGUGGGGAAUAUUGCACAAUGGGCGAAAGCCUGAUGCAGCCAUGCCGCGUGUGUGAAGAAGGCCUUCGGGUUGUAAAGCACUUUCAGUUGUGAGGAAAGGGGUGUAGUUAAUAACUGCAUCCUGUGACGUUAACAACAGAAGAAGCACCGCUAACUU